UGCUUCUACUGCAUUGCAUGUAUCUUUGCCAUCAGCCCAUCUUCAUCUUUCUUUUGGUUCUAGACGUGGACGAGUAAACAUGUCUGCAAAUUUCUUAUCUGCUUUCUACUUUGUUUUUCAAUUGAAGGUAGCAUCAAGGUGAGAGACAUCAUUAUCGAACACAACGAGACUGUAACUGAUUGACGCAGUUAUAAUGUUGGUCACAUUGGAUGCUCGGGUGGCCUACAAACAGAGACCCACUAUUCAAUUCUCCACUUGUAUAGAGUUUCAAAAAGAGGACCAUUCAACGCAUAGCUCUUCCAAUGCAGUCACAUGAUGUCUUUAUAAUCGAUCUUAAGUUUUGGACUGGCAGUGGAGAAUUAAAUGAUCAGUGAGUGCUAGUCCAGCAAUGAUGUCAGUUAGUGGCGGCGGAUAUUUUUUAUCGGAAAUGUCGAACCACUAAUUCCAGGUUUAUCUUAGUAUCUUUCAUCUCUCGUUAAAAAUUGAUAGAAUUGUGAAUUUAUCACUACAAACUGGGAAGAAUGGAGCUGGUGGUAGUGACAUUCGUCGUGUCGUAGUAGAGGCUCUCAGACUCAAUUCUUACUCUUUUAAUGGAAACGGAAACGGGAAAUUGUCGACUACGGAUUUGAGCGUGCUACUAGAGGAGGGGAGAAUUCCUACUGUGGCUGUUACUUUCUAUUAGGGAGAACUGCGUGAACUGUUCAAGGAUUAGAGCAUAAGAAAUUUGUCACUGGAUUAAAAAGGUAAGCUCCUGAAUAAAUCCUGCAAAGAAUUAAAUUAUAGUUAGUAUUUCUGGAAAUAGUUAAGAAAGUUUAACCGUGUCAAGUUUUACAAAGACUUUGAACCAUUCUCUUGUUAUCGAUAUUUAAUUCUUGAAUUUUUUCCAGUUUUUCUUGGUCAUAAAUUUCAAUGCUGUAAUAUUUCCUGAAGUUUUAAUAAAUACGUUAUCAGUUU
rnacentral:lncRNA from 1 species